rnacentral:rRNA from 1 species
UACGGAGGGCGCAAGCGUUGUUCGGAAUCAUUGGGCGUAAAGCGCGUGCAGGCGGCUUGGUAAGUCGGGUGUGAAAUCCCGGGGCUCAACCCCGGAACUGCACCCGAUACUGCCUCGCUCGAGUCCCGGAGAGGAUGGCGGAAUUUCCGGUGUAGAGGUGAAAUUCGUAGAUAUCGGAAGGAACACCAGCGGCGAAGGCGGCCAUCUGGACGGUGACUGACGCUCAGACGCGAAAGCGUGGGGAGCAAACAGGAUUGAGAAACCCUG